rnacentral:rRNA from 1 species
UAGCAUGAAGUCAGACAAGUGAACCCGCUGAAUUUAAGCAUAUCAAAAAAGCGGAAGGAAAAGGGGGGGGGGGAUGGUGUUA